GUGCUCACUUCGACAGCACAUAUACUAAAAUUGGAACGAAACAGAGAUUAGCACAGCCCCUGCACAAGGAUGACAUGCAAAUUUCUGAAGUGUUCCAUAUUUUU
rnacentral:snRNA from 2 species